UGUUUUAAGUAUUGAACCACACAAAGGAUUAAAUCUUCAUUACAAAAUCAUUCAUAACUCCAUUUAAAUCAAUGGAAACCAAAUAUGGAUAGUUUCAUGGAGUAACAACAUACUUUGGAUUUUGGACAUAAAAUACAAUACAAGUUAAUAUCGAACUUCGAACUUAUAAAGUGUUAAGCAGCAAUUACAAUAAAAGUGCUUGCUGUGGAAUCACUGGUGCUGCUCAUUAUUGUCAACUGUUACUUAAAAAGGUUAUGCCAUGCAUUAAAUUAGGAAGAUUUGUGUUGGAUGAAUUACCCAGAUAACAAUUAAAACAACUUCUAUUUAUAAGAACAUUCGAUUGGUGGAAUCGCAGAUUCUGUGAAUAUACAGGGUGUCCCAAAAACAAUGGAUAACCCUGUAACCAUCGAUAGGCCUCGCCAUGGUCUCCCUAACGUCCAAUUUUGACCCCAGUAAAAAUAUCACCGUUUUCAAGAUUUUUAAGUUUUUGUGCAUUUUUAGAAAAUUGCCACCUGCGAUUACUUUUUCUCAUGCCAUUUCUACAAAUGAGGAUACUUUUCAAUCUAGUUUUUUUCCUUAUCACAAGGGAUAGUUAAGCUAUCAAAAGAAAAGAUUAAAGUUCAACAAACUAGUUUAAAAGUAUGAAAAUUUUAAGAAAUUGCAGAGAAGAAGGAAAAAUUAAUUCAUUGUCUUGCACUUUUGAUCAGCCGUCGUGUAAAAAAAAUGUAGGAAGACCAUCGUGCCCAUUACCUUAAAAACUUUCUUGGUUAAUUGAGAUUCUAAAAAGGUAUCACAAGCCUAUGUAUUCUGUAUUAUUUUUAUCUUAUGGCUACUUGAAUAGCAACUAGUAUGAAAACUGCAAAAAUGAGUUUUUCUCGUAAUAGUUAAACUAAG